GUUGCGGUGAAGGGAAGCUUCCAUGGUUGAUGAGAGAAGGAGGAACUAGAAGAGGAAGACAAACGAGAUAAAUUGAGAAAGAGUGAGGGUAGGGGAUUCGAUGGGAAAAAUGGUUGGGAGAGACGAGGGGCGGCGGCAGCAGAGGCUGACAGUGCAAUCGUUGUGAAGCUGUCGACCCAUGUUGCCGAUGAUGAAGAUAUAGAAAAGUAUUUUGGAUGAAUUUCUUAUUUGAUUAUUGGAUUGCAAUAAUAUAAAUAUACAAAUUGAUAACCUAAUUGGAAAGAGUUGAAAGGGAAUUAACCACUGCACUUUUUUUCCUUUCCACACAUGGCAAU
rnacentral:lncRNA from 1 species